AACGCGUGGGCCGGCGAGGCCCUAACACAUGCAAGUCGAGCGGUAGAGAGGUGCUUGCAUCUCUGAGNGCGGCGGACGGGUGAGUAAUGCCUAGGAAUCUGCCUAGUGGUGGGGGAUAACGUUCGGAAACGGACGCUAAUACCGCAUACGUCCUACGGGAGAAAGCGGGGGGUCUUCGGACCUCGCGCCAUUAGAUGAGCCUAGGUCGGAUUAGCUAGUUGGUGAGGUAAUGGCUCACCAAGGCGACGAUCCGUAACUGGUCUGAGAGGAUGAUCAGUCACACUGGAACUGAGACACGGUCCAGACUCCUACGGGAGGCAGCAGUGGGGAAUAUUGGACAAUGGGCGAAAGCCUGAUCCAGCCAUGCCGCGUGUGUGAAGAAGGUCUUCGGAUUGUAAAGCACUUUAAGUUGGGAGGAAGGGCAGUAAGUUAAUACCUUGCUGUUUUGACGUUACCAACAGAAUAAGCACCGGCUAACUUCGUG
rnacentral:rRNA from 1 species